rnacentral:rRNA from 1 species
UGAGUACGAGCGGCUACGGCCGCGAAGUGGAUGAUGUCAAGCUUCCAAGAAAAGCCUUAUACCCGUUAAGGCAUGAUGGCCUGUACCCGAAACCGACACAGGUGGGGUGGUAGAGAAUACCGAGGGGCGCGAGGUAACUCUCUCUAAGGAACUCGGCAAAAUGGCCCCGUAACUUCGGGAGAAGGGGUGCCACCGCGAGGUGGUCGCAGUGAAGAGGCCCAGGCGACUGUUUACCAAAAACACAGGUCUCCGCUAAGUCGCAAGACGAUGUAUGGGGGCUGACGCCUGCCCAGUGCCGGAAGGUUAAGGAAGCUGGUCAGCGCAAGCGAAGCUGGCGACUGAAGCCCCGGUGAACGGCGGCCGUAACAAUAACGGUCCUAAGGUAGCGAAAUUCCUUGUCGGGUAAGUUCCGACCCGCACGAAAGGCGUAACGAUCUGGGCGCUGUCUCGGAGAGAGGCUCGGCGAAAUAGAAUUGUCUGUGAAGAUGCGGACUACGUGCACCCGGACAGAAAGACCCUAUGAAGCUUUACUGUAGCUUGGUAUUGUGCUCGGGCUCGGAAUGCGCAGGAUAGGUGGGAGGCUUUGAUCCAUUGCUUGCGGGUGAUGGUGAGCCACUGGUGAGAUACCACUCUUUCCGAGCUAGAGUUCUAACAGCAACCCGUUAUCCGGGUGCUGGACAGUAUCAGGUGGGCAGUUUGACUGGGGCGGUCGCCUCCUAAAAGGUAACGGAGGCGCGCAAAGGUCUGCUCAGGCUGGUUGGAAAUCAGCCGACGAGUGUAAAAGCAGAAGCAGGCUUGACUGUGAGACCUACAAGUCGAACAGGGAGGAAACUCGGCUUUAGUGAUCCGACGGUUCUGCGUGGAAGGGCCGUCGCUCAACGGAUAAAAGUUACUCUAAGGAUAACAGGCUGAUCUCCCCCAAGAGUUCACAUCGACGGGGAGGUUUGGCACCUCGAUGUCGGCUCAUCGCAACCUGGGGCUGAAGUCGGUCCCAAGGGUUGGGCUGUUCGCCCAUUAAAGCGGUACGCGAGCUGGGUUCAGAACGUCGUGAGACAGUUCGGUCCAUAUCCGGUGCACGCGCAGGAAUAUUGAGAGGAUUUCUCCCUAGUACGAGAGGACCGGGAGGAACGCACCUCUGGUGUGCCAGUUAUCGUGCCAACGGUAAACGCUGGGUAGCCAUGUGCGGAGUGGAUAACCGCUGAAAGCAUCUAAGUGGGAAGCCCACCUCAAGAUGAGUAUUCCCAUGGCAUAAGCCAGUAAGGUCACGGGAAGAACACCCGUUGAUAGGCUCUACGUGGAAGCGCAGUAAUGUGUGAAGCGGAGGAGUACUAAUAGACCGAGGGCUUGACCC